CUUAAAAGUUGUUAUCUUAUGACGUUAUCUUAGUGGUGUUGUGAUAUACAGUGUGAAGCUGUCAUCAAAUGCAAACAUUUGCGCAUCAACCAUCAUUAAACCAGCAGGGUAAGGUUACCAUUGUUGAAGAUUAGGUCUGAUAAUGACGAUAAUCCAUAUCGAGAUCCAUAUGUGUCUUAAUAUGUGAUUGAAUAUAAUUUUUAAUCAGUAUUCCAAGCUUACUGGUGAAUUAAAGCGUUUAUCACACAACUCUUUGAGCAUGAC